AACGAACGCUGGCGGCAUGCCUAACACAUGCAAGUCGAACGAGACCUUCGGGUCUAGUGGCGCAUGGGUGCGUAACGCGUGGGAACCUGCCCUUAGGUUCGGAAUAACUCCCCGAAAGGGGUGCUAAUACCGGAUAAUGUCUUCGGACCAAAGAUUUAUCGCCUUUGGAUGGUCCCGCGUUGGAUUAGCUAGUUGGUAGGGUAAAGGCCUACCAAGGCGACGAUCCAUAGCUGGUCUGAGAGGAUGAUCAGCCACACUGGGACUGAGACACGGCCCAGACUCCUACGGGAGGCAGCAGUGGGGAAUAUUGGACAAUGGGCGAAAGCCUGAUCCAGCAAUGCCGCGUGAGUGAUGAAGGCCUUAGGGUUGUAAAGCUCUUUUACCCGGGAUGAUAAUGACAGUACCGGGAGAAUAAGCUCCGGCUAACUCCGUG
rnacentral:rRNA from 1 species